GACGAACGCUGGCGGCGUGCUUAACACAUGCAAGUCGUACGGUAAGGCCCUUUCGGGGGUACACGAGUGGCGAACGGGUGAGUAACACGUGAGUAACCUGCCCACAACUUUGGGAUAACGCUAGGAAACUGGUGCUAAUACUGGAUAUGUGCCCCUGCUGCAUGGUGGGGGUUGGAAAGCUCCGGCGGUUGUGGAUGGACUCGCGGCCUAUCAGCUUGUUGGUGGGGUAGUGGCCUACCAAGGCGGCGACGGGUAGCCGGCCUGAGAGGGUGACCGGCCACAUUGGGACUGAGAUACGGCCCAGACUCCUACGGGAGGCAGCAGUGGGGAAUAUUGCACAAUGGGCGCAAGCCUGAUGCAGCAACGCCGCGUGCGGGAUGACGGCCUUCGGGUUGUAACCCGCUUUCAGCAGGGACGAAGCUUUUUGUGACGGUACCUGCAGAAGAAGCACCGGCUAACUACGUG
rnacentral:rRNA from 1 species